UGGGGAAUCUUGGACAAUGGGGGCAACCCUGAUCCAGCCAUGCCGCGUGAGUGAUGAAGGCCUUAGGGUCGUAAAGCUCUUUCGCCUGUGAAGAUAAUGACGGUAGCAGGUAAAGAAACCCCGGCUAACUCCGUGCCAGCAGCCGCGGUAAUACGGAGGGGGUUAGCGUUGUUCGGAAUUACUGGGCGUAAAGCGCACGUAGGCGGACCAGAAAGUUGGGGGUGAAAUCCCGGGGGCUCAACCCCGGAACUGCCUCCAAAACUAUUGGUCUAGAGUUCGAGAGAGGUGAGUGGAAUUCCAAGUGUAGAGGUGAAAUUCGUAGAUAUUUGGAGGAACACCAGUGGCGAAGGCGGCUCACUGGCUCGAUACUGACGCUGAGGUGCGAAAGUGUGGGGAGCAAACAGGAUUAGAUACCCUGGUAGUCCACGCCGUAAAACGAUGUCUGCUAGUCGUUGGGGGGCGUAGCCCUUCAGUGACGCCGGCUAACGCAUUAAGCAGGACCGCCU
rnacentral:rRNA from 1 species